UACAGAGGGUGCGAGCGUUAAUCGGAAUUACUGGGCGUAAAGCGCACGUAGGUGGCGACGUAAGUCGGGUGUGAAAGCCCCGGGCUCAACCUGGGAAUUGCAUUCGAGACUGCAUUGCUGGAGUACGGAAGAGGAGGGCGGAAUUCCCGGUGUAGCGGUGAAAUGCGUAGAUAUCGGGAGGAACAUCAGUGGCGAAGGCGGCAUCCUGGACCGACACUGACGCUGAGGCGCGAAAGCUAGGGUAGCAAACGGG
rnacentral:rRNA from 1 species